GCUGGUGUGGUGCAGUGGUUUGAGCUUUGGACUAUGACUCUGGAAACCAGGGUUUGAAUCCUUGCUCUACCA